GGGAGCUACAGUUCUCACCUCAACAACCUCAUUAAGCUGAAGAUAUUCAGGUGACUAUGGUGUCCCUUUAAAUUCGGCAAGUUGCGAGGUGGGGCCUCCAUAUAUCAGAUUUGUUGUUCCAGCACAUCCCACAGAUGCACAAUUGAAUUGAGAUAAGAUCAUUUAGGAGGCCAAGGCAACACCUUUAAAAAUGUGUCAUGUCCCUGAACAUUUUUUGCAGUGUGGCAGGGUGCCUUAUCCUGCUGAGAGG